rnacentral:rRNA from 1 species
AUUGAACGCUGGCGGCAGGCCUAACACAAGCAAGUCGAGCGAGCGGCGGACGGGGGAGUAAUGUCUGGGAAACUGCCUGAUGGAGGGGGAUAACAACUGGAAAAGGUAGCUAAUACAGCAUAACAUCAGAUGUGCCCAGAUGGGAUUAGCUAGUAGGUGGGGUAACGGCUCACCUCGGCGACGAUCCCUAGCUUGUCUGAGAGGAUGACCAGCCACACUGUGACUGAGACACGGUCCAGCCUCCUACGGGAGGCAGCAGUGGGGAAUCUUGCACAAUGGGCGCAAGCCUGAUGCAGCCAUGCCGCGUGUGUGAAGAAGGCCUUCGGGUUGUAAAGCACUUUCAGCGGUGAGGCGUUACCCGCAGAAGAAGCACCGGCUAACUCCGUGCCAGCAGCCGCGGUAAUUC